rnacentral:misc_RNA from 1 species
GAUGAAGAACGUAGGGAAAUGCGAUACUUGGUGUGAAUUGCAGAAUCCCGUGAACCAUCGAGUCUUUGAACGCAAGUUGCGCCCGAAGCCAUUAGGCCGAGGGCACGCCUGCCUGGGCGUCACACGUCGUUGCCCCCCCCAUCUACUCCUUCGGGAUUGCGGGGGGCGGAUGAUGGCCUCCCGUGCGCCUCGCCGCGCGGUUGGCAUAAAUGCCAAGUCCUCGGCGACGCACGCCACGACAAUCGGUGGUUGCGAAACCUCGGUUGCCCGUCGUGUGCGGUCGUCGCGCAUCGAGGGCUCGAAAAAAUUGCCGAGUUCCGGCUCGGCUUUCAACGCGACCCCAGGUCAGGCGGGGUUACCCGCUGAAUUUAAGCAUAUCAAUAAGCGGAGGA